AAGUUGUUGCGGUUAAAAGCUCGUAGUUGGAUUUCUGCCGAGGACGACCGGUCCGCCCACUGGGUGAGCAUCUGGGACGACCUGGGCAUCCUUCCAGGGAAGGUGUCUGCUCUUGUCUGAGUGGUGCAGUAUCUGGAACUUUUACUUUGAGGAAAUUAGAGUGUUUCAAGCAGGCAUACGCCUUGAAUACAUUAGCAUGGAAUAAUAAGAUAGGACCUCGGUUCUAUUUUGUUGGUUUCUAGAGCUGAGGUAAUGAUUAAUAGGGAUAGUUGGGGGCAUCCAUAUUUAACUGUCAGAGGUGAAAUUCUUUUUUUUGUUAAAGAUGAACUACUGCGAAAGCAUUUGCCAAGGAUGUUUUCAUUGAUCAAGAACGAAAGUUAGGGGAUCGAAGACGAUCAGAUACCGUCCUAGUCUUAACCAUAAACUAUGCCGACUAGAGAUUGGAGGUCGUUAUCUUACGACUCCUUCAGCACCUUACGAGAAAUC
rnacentral:rRNA from 1 species